GACGAACGCUGGCGGCGUGCUUAACUCAUGCAAGUCGAACGGAAAGGCCCUGCUUGCAGGGUACUCGAGUGGCGAACGGGUGAGUAACACGUGGGUGAUCUGCCCUGCACUUCGGGAUAAGCCUGGGAAACUGGGUCUAAUACCGGAUAGGAGCCAUUUUUAGUGUGAUGGUUGGAAAGUUUUUUCGGUGUAGGAUGAGCUCGCGGCCUAUCAGCUUGUUGGUGGGGUAAUGGCCUACCAAGGCGGCGACGGGUAGCCGGCCUGAGAGGGUGGACGGCCACAUUGGGACUGAGAUACGGCCCAGACUCCUACGGGAGGCAGCAGUGGGGAAUAUUGCACAAUGGGCGCAAGCCUGAUGCAGCGACGCCGCGUGGGGGAUGACGGCCUUCGGGUUGUAAACUCCUUUCGCUAGGGACGAAGCUUUUUGUGACGGUACCUAGAGAAGAAGCACCGGCUAACUACGUG
rnacentral:rRNA from 1 species